rnacentral:lncRNA from 1 species
AAGCUGCCGUCACGUCGCUGCGACAGGGGCGCAGCAGGCGCGCGCGCCGAUCACCCGCUGAAGUGAAGAGCGUCGCAGCGAAUCGUUUAUCAACGCGGGGAGAGUAGGCAGAGAAGACGCCUUCCCGCGCACUGCGGUGGUUCCAUCGCUCGGCGGGUGCUACUACUUCUACGGUCUGCGGGCGACAGGCGACCGAGCGAGCGACCGAACGAGCUCGUCGCGGUUUCAAGGCGGGCGUCUCGUGCUCGACAUUGCAACGGCAGGCAGCUUGAGGGACAAGGUUCGGCUCUGCGUGCCCUUCUCAAAAAAAAAACGUGCGCUCGCAUUUAUAGUGUGUGUCGGUGUGGCGGCGGUGGCGAAGCGGCGCGCUCGUUUUAACGGUACUCGCCGCCGCGUGUGUGGCGGUGUGGUGUGAUCCGCUUGGUGGUUGGUUCCGUUGUGUGUGCGCGUGCGUGCAUGUGUGGUGUGUAGUUACUACCUCUGCUGCUGCUGCUGCUGCGGCGGCUUAGAGCCGCGGCCGCGGCACAUCGUUCUUCUUUUACGAACCCCUGGAUGACCGUGCUCCCACUUUCUCCGUAAACUCCGGCGGAGCGCCCCGCGAAAGGAAGGAAAGUCGAAAGAUCGCUCGACGACUGCGGCGCGCCGGAGACUACGACCGCUAAGACGGACGAUCUUCUGAGCGCUGGUUACCACGGGCGUCGAUUGUGCGCGUCCUCCGUUUGGGAGCUGUUGACAAAACAAGAGAUACACACGGGAGAGCUGUUGCUGCUACUGCGCAAGUGGAUCACCUACCACGAUAGUAUCCGCUACGACUCGACGUUCGUUGUUGCUACAGCUGACGACGACGUGCGCGCGAACGGGGUUGUGUUUUCUGUGUGUGUGUGUUUUUUUUUAAAUAGCGCCAUGCACCACCGCCCGCAGUAUCGUUUGGUUCGGCGGCGGUGAAAAGAAAGAAAGGAAAAAAAAAAAGUUGUGUUUGGGAGGUCUGUGUCGGUCGUGUCGGGUUGUCUUCGUCCGUUGCGUCGAAUCGGCAUGAGCGUGUUCUUCACGAGCAUGGAGGACGUUUCAAUGGAUCACCGAUCGCUCUCCGCGGGUUCCGAGAAGUCCGCCUCAGCGCCGACCACUCCGACUGAAACUACGAGACUGCAAGCGCACGGAGAAGCGCUAUCGUCGGCGCUGAAGCGUCGAAGCAAGGGACACCGGGUGAAUUUCCCGACGGACGACUGCAUCGUCACCGGCUACGUUGAACCGCCCAACCCGUGGAGUAACGCACUUCCGUCGCCAAGUCCG